GUCCCGAUAGUGUAAUGGUCAGCACACGGACAGUUUAUGCGAUUUGCAUCUUCUUCCUAAGUAGAUGGAGGUUCGAGUCCUCCUCGGGACA